rnacentral:rRNA from 1 species
AACCUUGGGAAACUGAGGAUAAUACUGGAUAGGCAAUUAUUCCUGCAAUGGGUUUUUGUUUAAAUGUUUUUUCGCCUAAGGAUGGGUCUGCGGCCGAUUAGGUAGUUGGUUAGGUAAUGGCUUACCAAGCCGUUGAUCGGUACGGGUUGUGAGAGCAAGAGCCCGGAGAUGGAACCUGAGACAAGGUUCCAGGCCCUACGGGGUGCAGCAGGCGCGAAACCUCCGCAAUGUGAGAAAUCGCGACGGGGGGAUCCCAAGUGCCAUUCUUAACGGGAUGGCUUUUCAUUAGUGUAAAGAGCUUUUGGAAUAAGGGCUGGGCAAGACCGGUGCCAGCCGCCGCGGUAACACCGGCAGCUCUAGUGGUAGCAGUUUUUAUUGGGCCUAAAGCGUCCGUAGCCGGUUUAAUAAGUCUCUGGUGAAAUCCUGUAGCUUAACUGUGGGAAUUGCUGGAGAUACUAUUAGACUUGAGACCGGGAGAGGUUAGAGGUACUCCCAGGGUAGAGGUGAAAUUCUGUAAUCCUGGGAGGACCGCCUGUUGCGAAGGCGUCUAACUGGAACGGUUCUGACGGUGAGGGACGAAAGUUAGGGGCGCGAACCGGAUUAGAUACCCGGGUAGUCCUAACCGUAAACGAUGCGGACUUGGUGUUGGGGUGGCUUUGAGCUGCUCCAGUGCCGAAGGGAAGCUGUUAAGUCCGCCGCCUGGGAAGUACGGUCGCAAGACUGAAACUUAA